CUCACGGACCGCGAGAUCGUGACCUGAGCUGAAGUCGGACGCUUAACCGACUGAGCCACCCAGGCGCCCCUCCUUGUGUCUAAUCUUGCUCAUAUUUAUUUUGGUAAAAUUUGCCUGAGAAAGACAUUUUGUUUUGGAAAGUAGAGAGAGAAAGAAAUUAAGGGAUUGUUUCUCUAAUUUUCCCUUUCAGAACUGUAAUUUUGAGACUUACGAGGACUUUGAGGCAGUUAAAAACCUCUGCAUGUGAAGGAUUGUUCUUUCCUGUCUAUUUCUUGCCCCUAUUUAAGAGCAGGAAGAGCCCGUAGGUAGCAUUUCUCUCUAAGCUAAGCGACAGCAUGCUUCCAACACCUGAAUACAUUGAUCUGGCACCCGUCACCCCUGAAGUUGAGGCGACACGUGCAGCCGCAGAAAUCUUGCUGAUAAAAACCCUCUUUUUCAAGCCGCUAACUACUACUAAGACAUUCUUGCAUAAAGGGUAUAAAGAGAUUUCAUUUCAAGCAUCAUUGAGUUGUGAAGGUAAGAAUUACGCAUAAUUUGUUUCCUCGGACCUGUUAUUUGAGAGGCCUUAUUGAUUUUCAUCGGUGACCACAUAUAACUUGCAACAUUUCCCUCAAUGAUCAUUUUGAUUGCACUUGUGUUAAAAUAGCAUCCAGAGCACAAUUAGAGGGGAAAGGGAGAUUUCAUUUAGAACUCCUGUUUUAUUGAGUGCCUGCUUUGUGCUAUAUGGCAAAAGUGGAGUCUGUGUGUGUGUGUGUGUGUGUGUGUUUCACAAGUCUCACCAAGUGUAGUGACUCUUAGAAGUUAUUAGCUUCUGAAUACCUUUAGACCAUGAAACAAUAUUUCCCUUUGUCUCCCUUUGUCUUUGUUAAUUAGGAAAAAUUGCCACACUUCCCAGUGGUAACAUGUCUAAUUUAAUAACCUGAGAACCUCAUGCUUGAAAAUAUAAUGAAGCGAACUAAAUACCAUGGCUGUUUUAUAAUUACUAAUACAAAGCAUAUUGUAACGAAACUUCACUGAUUAGAAAAGACUCUUAUAAGGCACAGAAUCAGAUGAGAACUACAGCUCUAUCUGCAAAAUUUAAUAUAAUUAUCAAUCAGGAAAUUGAGCCUUGAACACAUAGGCUGACAGGGCAGAAUUUGUUUGAAGACGGAGAGGAUCAGCCAAUAAAUCCCCUGCCAGAUUUGUUUCUUUGUUCUGCAAAAAACACGCAGAAAUAAAGGUAGUGGAACUUUGACUCUCUCUUCUCCUUGGGAAAAGUUUGCAUCAUUUCGUUUCCAUCGGGAGCUUAAGUGAUCACCCCAGCACAACUGGCGAUUUUACUUGAAGUGUUGGUAUCUUGUAUUCCCUGCCUGAGGCAGAAUUUCUGUAUACUGUAGAAAAUCUGGUCUCUUUCAGUAUUUUUAUUUAAAAGAAUCAUAUAGGUGGCAUUAUGGCAUGAUGGGACUUACACUGAAUCCCAGGUAGAGUCUUCCCUAGGUGUAGGACCACAGGGAAAGAUGAAAUUUGGCAGGUGACUUACCCUCAGUAUCUCAAUGUCCUCAUCCAAAAACACAGAUGCUUCUUACGGGGAUUAAAUGAGAUUUCACUAUAAAGCACACGACCGGAUGCAUCAAACGUAUCAAAAAAUGUUUUCCUUUCUUUUCUGCCCUUUCCUGCUGGGCAAGCGGCCGUGACAUGGGAACAGUGACACACACAAAGACGUAGUGUGAUGUGUGAUUUUGAAGCUGUGGCACAAUUUAUUUUAUUUAUGUUUAAGUGCCUUUAGUUCUGUGGGGAGGGUCCAACCCUGAGUGCGGGGGGAGAUGGUUGGGUGGGGUGAUUCAGAGCUUGGAGGUGAACAAAUGCAAGCUUGCGUGAACUUGAAUCCUGGGUCUGCUCCAUAUGAGUUCUGUGGCUCUGUGGAGAUUACUUAAUCUCUGGCAGCCUUAUUGUCUAGAUGGGGAUAGUCUUAGUAUCAUUGGCUAAGGGAUUAAAUAGGAAAGGUUAAAUGGAAAAGCAUAUGGAAACCUCAUGCCAUAGCGGACCCAUGGAUGUUUUUCUGUGUUGUGGUAUUUUAGGUCUCUUAUCAUUAUCUUUUUUUAAAUGUUUAUUUUUGAGAGAGAGAAAGAGCGAGAGAGAGGGAAUGAGCCAAGGAGGGGCGGAGAGAGAGGGGGACAGAGGAUCUGAAGCAGGCUCUAUGCUGACAGCAGAGAGCCUGAGGUGGGGCUCGAACUCAUGAACCAUGAGAUCAUGACCUGAGCUGAAAUCAGACGCUUAAACAACUGAGCCACCCAGGAGCCCUUCAUUAUAUCUUUUACAUAUAUAUUUUAUAUGACGUGUAUUUAUAUAUGAUAUAUCUAUAUAUAGAUCUUUGUGUCUUUUAGAAUUCGCACACUCUUGCGAGGCCUUUCACUUCACUCAUCUACCCCCUUAUGUCUGACGUUGGUAUUUGAAAUUCCCUUAAGGUAAAACCUAGGUUUUUAUUUCCCCAUUUCACAACCACUUUGACUCUGCAAAUUUUGCAAACAUAGUUUAAUUAGUUUGAGUGGAUCUGUGAUUGGUGGUGGAAUCAGAUUUUUUUUUCCUGGUAACCGUGGUAGCAAGGAGGCUCAAAAGCAGGCAAAAACUAAUAAUACACGUUCCUCCGGAGAAUAAAAAUGUCUCCACGUAGUUCCUCCAAAAUUACAAAAUCAGUUUCAGGGAGUUGAGGAGGUAGAAGUUCCAAAAUGUUGCAUAUUUCAAAACCUCUUCCCAUUUCGUGUUUGUGUCAGCCAGUUUUUCCCCCAAGGAACAUUUAUUGAGCAUCUAUAGGACGCAGAGUUUGGGAUGUGAUCCUUGCUCUCAAGAUAUUCAAGGAUGGGGGCAGGAAGCAGUGGGGACAGGUGCACAAGUGGGUAGCUGUCAUACACCUUAUGGGGACAGCGGUAAAGAACUACAGUGAUGUUAAGGGGACCUGAGAAGGCAAGGAAGGAAGGGAAAAACGGAGUAGGUGACGGAUGGGGAUUGGUUCUAAGUCAGAGGCCAGUUCUACACUCCUUGGAGGUGUUGAGAAUGUAUAGGUGCAUUUCUGGUUGUCAUAGUGAUUGGGGUGUGGCCUGAUUGGCCCUCAGUGAGUGAAGGCCUUCCACGUACAGGAUAAUGUCACGCAGCAAAACCAGUUGUCUGACAAACGUCAGCGGCGUUGUGGGUGGCAAACAUUGAGCAAAGAGGGGAAACCAAAGGAGUCAUAUUUAUAUGCUGUGUGUACUAUAGGCUUGGGGAAAAGAUUUGCUUUGGGCUCGCAGCAUUUGUGAAAAUAAAGGCAAUUAAAAAGCGGGAAUCUUCUUUUCCCAUCUACUGCCUUUGGUCGGGGUAUCUUGAACUGGUUUUUCAAUCCCAUGACUUUCCCAAAGCUUAAUGUGAUGAGGCGUGUUUGCUUGAACAUGCCCAUGGAGGGUCUGGGGCCUCUUCUCAAGAGCCUGGAGAAUGAGUCCGCCCAGAUCACCCUCAGAAUGAUGAAACCCCAGGAAAAAAAAAUUUCCAUUUUUUUUUCUUUCCAACAGACUGCCAAGUUAAGAAGGGGCCAGCUAUAAAACACUAGUGACAUUCUGAACCAGAAAAUCUGUUUUCCUUUGCUUUGAUUCAUUUUAAAAUAAAAUAGAUUUGCUCAGACAUCCAGUGCAGUUAAUAGACUUGUCCCUGAUGGUGGCCUAAAAGGAGAGAAGACACCAGGAGAAAUAAUUAAGUUGUGUACGUACACGAGCAGAAGGAAAGGAAGACGAACAGGAGAUACGAGUCUAGGAGCCUCAGGCCCCAGUAGUGCACCUGCUGAUCGCAGAGGAUGUAGCCCAAUAGGGAAGGCACAGACAGGGGGCCCCAGCAUUUCAGCAGAAACCAGAGUCUCAUGAUGAUAUAUGCAAAGGUUCAGACUCCACUCCAUUAAUUCCAGACUUUUGCAGAGGCAUCUGUAGGCCAGGGCUGGGGAUGGGGGGAGGAGGUAAGACAGAUGGGAAGAGGGGUAAGGAGACACUGGGUUAGAUAGCCCCUCCCUUGACUUUUAGUAGGCAUCUCUGACCCUUAUGUAUAUUGGAGUUCUGUGUAAGAUUACAUUUGAAAAUAGUAAAAAGUAUUUUCCCUUAAAAACGAUUUGAAAAACCACUGGUUUAAAAAAAAAAAAGCAUUGAAGUGCUCAUUCCUGUGUUGGCUAUUCAUUUAGAAAUUAAUCUGCUGUGCAACUUUGGUCAAGUGCCUGCGCCUCUCUGUGCCCUUGUUUAUUCCCUCGUCUGAGUGAUAAACGAUUCAGACUAUAAUUUCUUUUUUUAUUAAAUUUUUUUUUUAAUUUAUUCAUUUUUGAGAGAGGGAGAGAGGGCGUGAGCAGGGGAGGAGCAGAGAGAGAAGGGAGACAGAGAAUCCGAAGCAGGCUCCAGGCUCUGAGCUGUCAGCACAGAGCCCGAUGCGGGGCUCAAACUCAGAAACUGUGAGAUCAUGACCUGAGCUGAAGUCAGAUGCUUAACCGACUGAGCCACCCAGGCACCCCGUGAUGAGAAUUUCUAAGGAUCCUUUAGCUUUAACCUUCUGUGAAUUUUUAAAUGUGUUAACCAAUUUGCUGCCCUGUUGUGAAGGAGAAGGAUUUGGUGCCCUGAGAGUGGAUUGCUUUCAUGAGCCGCACAGAAGACCUAGGAGAAUCUAGGUUUUUGAUCUGAAAGUUAUAAGAGGUGUGAAAUGAAAAUGAGGUUAUUGGUGGAAAUUCACAGUUUCCUCCUCUCACAGUUGCUAGUGUUUUCAUCAAGGCAGAACGUCUUGACAAAGUACAAGAGCCCUAACUCACCGAUUUAUUCCAUGUUGUAGUUUAGGCUUUUCACCGAAAACGACUAGUGGGCCAGCCUUCCACCAGCUGGAUGUUAGGUUUCUACGGAGUAACAUUUGUACGGUUGGAUUGUCCAAAAACAGGCCUUUCAGCUGGCGAUAAAUGGUUUUAGUCAGAUACAGGUGCAUGGGGUAUACAUUUAUUUGUCCAGGAGUCCUUUUGAUUAAACAAAACUGUCUGUGUGGCUGGGCUUCCAGUGUAAUGCAAGGAUCUGAACUCACUGUCCAGCCUGUCUGUUCUGACAAUUCUGACUUUGCUUCCCAUUUCCCUGUUAGCAUUUAAAGACUUGUGUUACUGGGGCACCUGAGUGGCUCAGUCGAUGGAGUGUCUGACUUCGGCUCUGGUCACGAUCUCACAGCUCAUGAGUUCGAGCCCCGUGUCGGGCUCUGUGCAGACAGCUCAGAGCCUGGAGCCUGCUUCGGAUUCUGGGUCUCCCUCUCUCUGUCCCCCCCACCCCACCAACUCAUACUCUCGUCUCUCUCUUUGAAAAAUAAGCAAAGACUAAAAACAAAACAAAACGAAAAAAACAACUUGUGUGACUUAUUUGACCUGCAUUCAUUUGAAGCAUCUUCCGCGGCCGAAGGUUCCAGCUGCUCGUACUUCUGUCUCCUCUGUUUGCCUGCGUGAGUCCCUUGGCCAUUUGCCAGCCACUUACAAUGGUUUUGCAGGAGUGUUGAAGGUAGCCUGGCUCUCUGCUUGUUUUGAAAUACAGUCGCUGGCAUUGUAGUCGUUUGUGGAGGAUGACCUCCGUGGGAAAGAGAGCCAGGAAAUCAAAUCAGAGGAGAAGAGUAGGGCCUUAGCACAUCUUCACUCGGUGAUUACAAAUCCGCACGUGAGUAGUACGUACUGUGUGUGAAUGGCCUCACAACACCCCUACGAGGAAGGUAUUAUUAUUACUGUCGUCGUCAUCACCACCACCCCCCCUCCUAAUUAUAGAUGAGGAGACUGAGGCUUAGAGAAGUUGAAUAAUAUUCACAAGCCAGUGUUGAUUGCUUUGCAGACUUUGUUAAGCUCACUUCCCCUUGGUGGCUGUACGUGGAAAUGAUACAAAGACACAUGGCCGUGUAGUCCUUCACACAUAUGCUCUUGUAGUCUAAUAUCCCAGAUUUUUGUACUAAUUUAAAUUGCAGUGGGAAUGCAUGGCCUUUAUUAAGUUAAUUCACACUCGGGUCUGAUGAAAUGUCACGGACUCCAGGUGACAUCUGCCUGGUAGUUAGUAAGAGCUUUGGGUUGGGGGCUGGCGUUUUCUUGGCGUCUCGCCGAAGCGUCCGUCCUCGUGGUGUGUCCAAGCGGGGCGCAGCCUGGCCCACGGGCCCCUAGCCACCGAGCACGUGGCCACGGGUGUCUCUCAGUUACAUUUUGUAAUUCUGCAGUUGAGAACACUCCAUCCCGUUCCUUCCCUUGUUGUGCCUGAAAGCAGCUGGGAAGCCUGAAGUCUUUGUUUCCUUCGGCGCCUGCUUAGCAGACCAAUAGCGAGAGAAAAGGAUUCGCUACACAUUGUUUCUCAGCCUUUCUCGCAAGAAAGGAAUACGGAUAGGUGGGUUCAAGUGACGUCAGGUCUCAGCGCCAGUUUGUUUUGAUUGUCCAGCACGACUCCUUUCCGAACGCUCUGAGUAUUUAACAGUGCCGUGACCCAGAAGUCUCUGUGCUGCGGCUGACGCAAGCCAAGUUCACCCGCACUCUCCAAGGAGCUUUUUUGCAAGUUUUCCCAGUGUUGACCUCACCACAUCUUAUGAACAGCCUGAGAUUCGUAUCGGAAGUAGGUCCAUUCACGUUGUUGCAAAUGUCAAGAUCGCAUUCUUUUUUUGGCUGAGCAAUUUCCACAUCUUUUUUAUUCAUCUACCAAUGGACAAUAAAGGCUGCUUCCAUAUUUGGGCUGUUGUAAAUAAUGCUGCCAUAAGUAUGGGGGUACAUCUACUUCUAUGAUUGUCUUCCCGAUGAAAGAACCCCACUACAUUAUCAAACGAUUCUCUUGAUCUCUGCUGUCUUGUAGCAAUCCUUAAAGCAUGCUAGAUGCUGAAGAGUUUCCAUCGAGAUGGUGGACCAGGAAUGCUUUUUGAAAGCCAGAAAGGAUCCAGAGGUAUCACUUCUGAUCAUUCUGUCACAAAUGCUUUGGGAUUUUUAUCUAUUUUUAUUUUUAGAAAAUGUUUAUUUAUUUUGAGAUAGAGGGAGAGAGAAAAUGAGUAGGGGAGGGGCAGAGAGAGAGGGUGAGAGCACAGAGCCCGACGUGGGGCUCGAUCCCAUGAACUGCAAGAUCAUGACCUGAACUGAAAUCAAGAGUCGGACACUUAACCCGACUAGCCACCCAGGUGCCCCUGGAUUUUUAAAUUCAUUAUUAUUUCUUUUUGGUGCCAGAGGCAGCAGAGUUCCCAGGGACUGGUCCAUAGUUACAUGGGUGUUGAGAGCAAGGACUGAAAUAUCCAUUUUGCUGACGUCAUUUGUAGCUGAACGUGUGUGGCCCUGGAACCAGCAGCCACAGCGCUAGCUCUGAUUCCCCGAUUCCUGAUCACGACUGAGACAGUGGCUUCAGUGGAGGGUCAUUUUGGAGUGGGUGUCACUCCUUAAAGAUCAGCCUCGCAGCUGCUCACAACGCCCUUCCAGUGAUUUUUCUAAGCUCUUGUUUCUCCAAAGGAAAUGUCUUUUUUUCCUUAGAUAGAAUGAUUUCUGCUCCUUCAGCUCGAGACUGAUGGAUGAACAUGGUAUAUGAAGCUCCCACUCACAUCCUCCUCCUGUCCUUCCUGGCCCCACACUUUAUGUCCCAGCUCCAUCAGACUAGGGUCAUUUCCCCCACAUACCCUGCUUGUGCGUGCCUCUGUGUCUUUGCACCUGUCGUUACUCCAGCCUGGCUCAUCUCAAUCUUACUUCCCUGCCUACCUGUGUUUUGAGCCUCUGGAAGUCUGGAAUCAUCUCCGGGAAGUCUCUUGAAGUACCCUUCCUCCCCUCCAAGUCUGGCAGGUGCCCUUUCUUCCCACACAUUGUCUCCAUGACACCAUGUUAUAUUUGCAACACUCCGCUUGUAGGUUGAGACUAUGAGCACCUUGAGGGGCAGAACCUCUUCCUGCUUUUCUUUGUUACCCUCUAACUCGGCAGCCUAGAACAAUUCUAGCGUUCAUCCAUGCUUUCUUUUCUGAAUUGAACUUGUGCCUUUUAGCAUUCCUACUGA